GAGAGCAACACUUUUGUUCAAGGGAGUGUGUGAUUGUGUGUGUAUUUGUGUGUGAGGGAGAGGGGUACUAUCCAAAGGCGCAGAAACGCAGCAACAGGUGGCUGCCAGGAGGUAACUGAAACAAUCUACAAGCCUACUUGGCUGGGACACUCCCAUCCAUUUUCCCUGUGACUGCGAUCAACCUCCAACAACCACUUACAACCGAAAACCAGGCCCACCUGCUAGGACCCAUCUGCAGUGACACCCAUUUAAUGAGUCAAUGAUACAUCUGUUGGGAGUCCUGACUAUAGAUGUGCUGCACAUACAUGUGCAACUGGAUGCUGUGUACCUACUCAGUGAUCUCCUGACUUUUGAUCUUCUGACCCCUUUGUGAUGUUAGCCCACAUAGCCACCAUUACCGGCUGUCUACUUUUCUUGGAAAGGAGUUGAUAAGAAGAGGCAAUUUACCCUCAUCCUCCUUCUUUUUGCUUGAUAAACAACACGAAAGCAAGUUUCCAUGACCUCAUUGACUGAUUGGGGCUCUUGCUUCUUUAUCACUGAGUGUUGUUGCUGCUACAUCUAUCCUGAUGCAUAUUUUUUUUUCUUUGAAACUGGGCUAUAAUGACAGAUAAUCACCCAGGAAUUUAGCACAGAGAGGACAAAUAGUAGGCUGGAAGAAAACUCAGGGACAUAAAACAACUGGUCAAUAGGUGAUCUGUGAUUAUAAGUAAUGACUUUGUAACUACACACAGAUACUGUGGCGAGAGAAGCUGCUAAAUUAUUGGAUCAGCCACACAAUAGAUAUCGCACAAAACUACACAUCAUUUUAAAGCCAUCAUUAUCUGUUGAUUAUGGAGUAGGAGCAUGUUGAUUACUGAGCAAGAACUAGGAGGAAUUUGUGAGUGUGUUAUAAAGAUGCAAUCUAUAGUUACCAUUGGGUGAGGUCAC